UUGUGGCAUUAUGCUCAAUCUUUUUCCUCUGCUAACAGAGAAUACACAAGUCGAUUCAACAGUGAUGAGACACUUCUGUUUUGUAUGAGGGUGAUGGUGGGGGUUAUUAUCCUCUAUGACCAUGUGCAUCCAAACGGUGCCUUCAACAAAUCCUCAAAAAUUGAUAUGAAAGGAUGCAUUAAAGUCUUAAAAGAUCAGCCAGCAGAUAAUGUUGAAGGUCUCCUUAAUGCCCUCAAGUUCACCACAAAACACCUGAAUGAUGAGUCCACUCCAAAAAAUAUCAGAACAAUGCUCCAGUAAUGGUUUUAAGUGAAGCGGGUCAAUAUUCUGACCUCAAAAGAUGUAUAUGUUUACAUUUAUUUAAGGACUUAAUGUUAAUACUUGGGCAUAUUUACAUAAUCAUUCCCUCCAAGUUACUGCAAUGUAAGGAAAGCAGACCUUUAUUCUAAACAAAUUGCCUAUACUGUCGACAGAAGCACAAAUUAAUAAAAACCAAGCAGCCUUAUGAAAAAAUUCAAGAAAAAAAAGACCAUUAGCAGUUUUGUUUUCAAAUGAAUAACCAUGAUCAUGUUGACCAAAAGGGCUGAUGCAUUGGUUGAGCUACAGUGAAAUCCUAUUGGCUAAAGUGUAGUCAGUAUUGAAUGAGUAAAGUGUGUUGGGAUGGUUGUGUUUUUGUAUUUUGUAAUAAGGUAAUGAUGAGAAAAGACAGUUUAUAAAAAUGCCAUAAUGUGAUGUAACCAUUUUUUUCCUUUUUCUAUUCUUUCAAAAAUAAUCUGUGGUUUUGCUAGAGGUGGAGAUACCAGCUUUUUUGUUAUUAUGUUAUGUGUGUUCUCCGUGUCUGUGUACCUCUUUGUUUCUAACACAUUCGAUACUCAUCAAUACAGCUUUAAAAUCUGAAAUAAAA